rnacentral:rRNA from 1 species
AGUGAACGCUGGCGGUAGGCCUAACACAUGCAAGUCGAACGGCAGCACAGUAAGAGCUUGCUCUUACGGGUGGCGAGUGGCGGACGGGUGAGGAAUACAUCGGAAUCUACUUUUUCGUGGGGGAUAACGUAGGGAAACUUACGCUAAUACCGCAUACGACGUACGGGUGAAAGCAGGGGAUCUUCGGACCUUUCGCGAUUGAAUGAGCCGAUGUCGGAUUAGCUAGUUGGCUGGGUAAAGGCCCACCAAGGCGACGCUCCGUAGCUGGUCUGAGAGGAUGAUCAGCCACACUGGAACUGAGACACGGUCCAGACUCCUACGGGAGGCAGCAGUGGGGAAUAUUGGACAAAGGGCGCAAGCCUGAUCCAGCCAUACCGCGUGGGUGAAGAAGGCCUUCGGGUUGUAAAGCCCUUUUGUUGGGAAAGAAAAGCAGCAGGUUAAUACCCCGCUGUUCUGACGGUACCCAAAGAAUAAGCACCGGCUAACUUCGUG